GCGGGUGUGGCGAAAUUGGUAGACGCACUAGACUUAGGAUCUAGCGGGCAACCAUGGGGGUUCGAGUCCCUCCACCCGUACCA
rnacentral:tRNA from 1 species